rnacentral:rRNA from 1 species
GUAGGGUGUAAGCGUUAAUCGGAAUUACUGGGCGUAAAGCGUGCGCAGGCGGUUUUGUAAGUCUGUCGUGAAAGCCCCGGGCUCAACCUGGGAAUUGCGAUGGAGACUGCAAGGCUUGAAUCUGGCAGAGGGGGGUAGAAUUCCACGUGUAGCAGUGAAAUGCGUAGAGAUGUGGAGGAACACCGAUGGCGAAGGCAGCCCCCUGGGUCAAGAUUGACGCUCAUGCACGAAAGCGUGGGGGGGAGCAAACAGGAUUAGAUACCCUGGUAGUCCACGCCCUAAACCGAUGUCUACUAGUUGUCGGGUUUUUAAUUAACUUGGUAACGCAGCUAACGCGUGAAGUAGACCGCCUGGGGAGUACGGUCGCAAGAUUA